rnacentral:rRNA from 1 species
AUUGAACGCUGGCGGCAUGCCUUACACAUGCAAGUCGAACGGCAGCACGGGGCAACCUGGAGGCGAGUGGCGAACGGGUGAGUGAUGCAUCGGAACGUACCUUUCAGUGGGGGAUAACGUAGCGAAAGUUACGCUAAUACCGCAUAUUCUGUGAGCAGGAAAGCAGGGGAUCGCAAGACCUUGCGCUGAUUGAGCGGCCGAUGUCAGAUUAGCUAGUUGGUGAGGUAAAGGCUCACCAAGGCGACGAUCUGUAGCGGGUCUGAGAGGAUGAUCCGCCACACUGGAACUGAGACACGGUCCAGACUCCUACGGGAGGCAGCAGUGGGGAAUUUUGGACAAUGGGGGCAACCCUGAUCCAGCCAUGCCGCGUGAGUGAAGAAGGCCUUCGGGUUGUAAAGCUCUUUCGGCCGGGAAGAAAUCGCACGGGCUAAUACCCUGUGUGGAUGACGGUACCGGAAUAAGAAGCACCGGCUAACUACGUGCCAGCAGCCGCCGUAAGAC